GACGAACGCUGGCGGCGUGCUUAACACAUGCAAGUCGAACGGAAAGGCCCUGCUUGUAGGGUACUCGAGUGGCGAACGGGUGAGUAACACGUGGGUGAUCUGCCCUGCACUUCGGGAUAAGCCUGGGAAACUGGGUCUAAUACCGGAUAGGAGCCAUUUUUAGUGUGAUGGUUGGAAAGUUUUUUCGGUGUAGGAUGAGCUCGCGGCCUAUCAGCUUGUUGGUGGGGUAAUGGCCUACCAAGGCGGCGACGGGUAGCCGGCCUGAGAGGGUGGACGGCCACAUUGGGACUGAGAUACGGCCCAGACUCCUACGGGAGGCAGCAGUGGGGAAUAUUGCACAAUGGGCGCAAGCCUGAUGCAGCGACGCCGCGGGGGGGAUGACGGCCUUCGGGUUGUAAACUCCUUUCGCUAGGGACGAAGCUUUUUGUGACGGUACCUAGAUAAGAAGCACCGGCUAACUACGUG
rnacentral:rRNA from 1 species